UGUCCUUCUGUUGAUUUGAGGUGCCCAGAAAUGCUGGUCCUAUGUUGAUAAAAAUGGCUUAUCAUUUGAGAUGAGCAGCCUUUGUCAACUGACUGGCAGGCCAUGUGCCAUAAGAUAGUGUUUAAUAGUAUUUUGUCAAUUUCAGAGUUAAUAAUAAAAUACGUACUCAACAUGGCAAUAUCCUGAGUAGUCUUUUUAAUAUACUUAAAGAUCUUAUUCUUAGGUUUAAUUAUUUCAAUAGUAGUAGAGAUGUAGAAACUCAUAGAUUAGAGGUGGGCUGAUGUCGGAUCUAUGAUGACGGUUGAUGCUGUCUGAGUAUCUUAUCAUGAUCAUAUGUCUGAGAGUCUGAGGUCCACAUCGUAAAAUAUCUUGAAUACGCCCAUCCUCUUAGGGGCCAAUUCUAAGAGUUGGCUACUUCUAUAAUUAGCUAAAAUAUCAAUCAAAAUAACUUUUUAAGUCUUUUUCAAGACGUAUUACAUACGAAAAAUAUCUCCCAAGCAAUAGCUCUUUCAUACCUGAUGGCUCAGGAUGCCAUGCCACAUGAGCUCAAAUUGUAGUCAGAGCCAUGGCUAUUUGGUUUCUGAGAAAAGACUCAGCAGAGGUUGUUAGAGCCUUAGCUGAGUGAUGAGAAGAGGGGUAAUUUCAAGCAUGAAAAUGUAUGGAUAAAUUAACAGAAUACCAAUAUUCUCUUCCGCUUUAAACUCUGAGAAUGGAUUUUCCCCAGCUGAUUUUCCACAUUCUGUAUUCUUCGGGUGAGCACGGAAACAGAUUCCUGCCUCACUGGUCACUAGGUUCAUGGUCCCUCGCAUAUGUGUCAGAAGCAUAGUCACGAACAUGCUUUCCUGGAGAUAUUCACAUUCUGGUUCCUGAAUAUACAGAGACUGAAAAAGGCCCAACUUAAUAUCAAUGGGUGGAUCCUGUCUCAUCCUAAGCUCUAAUGUUGCGUGGGUCACAGCUACAACCGGCUCAGCGAACCCUGUGGAAGAGGAGGUGGAAACAGUGUACGAGCCAAUUUCAAUGGAAGACACAGAGGAAGCUAGGCCUUCUGGACACAAGAGGACUGAUGUACCUGUGAACUCUCAGAGACUGAGGCAGCACGCACAGGACCUACACAGGUCUAAGCCCGAUGGGCUCUCAGCACCGAGAGGGGAACUGGACACAAUUCUAUAUUCAUAAACCAGAAACUUUCUCCAGUUGAUAAACUCUGUCAAAGGACAUAUAAGAACUGGACAUAUAAGAACAGGCCCCACCGCCCUGAUGGCCAACACAUGAUGAACUCAAUGGCAUUUUUGGAGGGUUUUGUGACUCACAAUGCGUUGUCUGGUACUUUUUUUUUUUUUUAACACGCUACAGAUAUUUUUUGUAUAUAUCAUGGUUUCUGACUGUAUUUUUUGAAUUUUCUUAUAUGUGUCCCAGUGUCCGUAUAUGAUUUUUCUUUGACUCUUUUUUUUUUCCUAUUCUGCUUUGCUUCUUUUUUCUUAAUUGGUCAUUUUAUUUAUUUACAUUUCAAAUGUUAUCCCCUUUCCCAGGUUUACCUUCCAGAACCCCCCUAUCCAAUCCUAUCUACUCUCUAUUCUCUGAUGGUGCUAACCCCCCCACCAACCCACUCGUGCCCCACAGUACUAGCAUUCAUUCCCCUACAUUCAAUCAUCAAACUUCAUCGGACCAAGGGCCUCUCCUCCCAUUGAUGCCUGAGAAGGCUGGAGCCAUGGGUUUCUCCAUGUGUACUCUUUGUAUGGUAGUUUAGUCUUUGGGAUACCUGGGGGGCGGGGGGGUUAAUCAUUGUUCUUCCUAUGGGGUUGCAAACUCCUUCAGCUCCUUCCGUCCUUUCAAUAACUCAUCCAUUGUAGUCUCCAUUUCAGUCCCUUGACCAGGAGCAUUCUCUCUAUAACAGUCAGGCUGUCAGAUAAAGGCUAUAUCAAGCUCCUGUCAAUCUUCUUUGUUUGUAUCUCCUCCUCCUCCUCUUCCUCUUGCUCCUCCUCCUCCUCCCCUUCCUCC